rnacentral:rRNA from 1 species
GACGAACGCUGGCGGCGUGCUUAACACAUGCAAGUCGAACGGAAAGGCCCUGCUUUUGUGGGGUGCUCGAGUGGCGAACGGGUGAGUAACACGUGAGUAACCUGCCCUUGACUUUGGGAUAAAUUUAGGAAACUGGGGCUAAUAUCGGAUAGGAGCUCCUGCUGCAUGUUGGGGGUUGGUAAGUUUCGGCGGUUGGGGCUGGUCUCGCGGCUUAUCAGCUUGUUGGUGGGGUAGUGGCUUACAAAGGCUUUGACGGGUAGCCGGCCUGAGAGGGUGACCGGCCACAAUGGGACUGCGGUACGGCCCAGACUCCUACGGGAGGCAGCAGUGGGGAAUAUUGCACAAUGGGCGGAAGCCUGAUGCAGCAACGCCGCGUGCGGGAUGACGGCCUUCGGGUUGUAAACCGCUUUCGCCUGUGACGAAGCGUGAGUGACGGUAAUGGGUAAAGAAGCACCGGCUAACUACGUG